UUAAACGACAGCACAAAUUUACAAAAUUUCUUGUUUAUUUUCUAACUUCAUAUGUUGUUGUAGUGUAGCUCUCUCUCUCUUUUGCUUCUCUAUAGGGGGAUUGAAGCGAUCUGGGGUGUGACUACCAUUUAAAGGGAGAAAAAUGACAGAAGCAAAAGCAACUACACCCUUGAUGCCACCCUCAUCAACCAAGCUUCCAGAUUACAACAAAUCAGUCAAGUUGAAAUAUGUUAAGCUUGGUUACCAUUACCUCAUUACUCAUGGAAUGUACCUCUUAUUAACACCUCUAGUAGCUGGGAUUGCUGCUCACAUGUCAACACUUACUCCUCAAGAUCUUUCUGAAUUAUGGGACAAUCUUCAAUACAACCUCAUCUCAGUAAUUUCAUGUUCAACACUCAUAGUACUCGUAUUGACAAUCUACAUCGUAACCCGUCCUCGCCCUGUAUACCUCGUGGACUUUAGUUGUUACAAGCCUGGUGAAGCUCAUAAGUGCACAAUGCAGACUUUCAUGGAUCAAUCUAGGUUAGCUGGUGCGUUUUCCGAGGAGAAUCUUGAGUUCCAAAGGAGGAUCUUACAACGAUCAGGGCUCGGGGACAACACGUACUUCCCUGAGGCUUUGCUCAACAUACCUCCAAAUCCGUCGUUGAAACAAGCUAGGAAAGAAGCGGAGACAGUUAUGUUUGGCGCUAUUGAUGGCCUAUUGGCUAAAACGAACGUGAAAACGAAGGACAUUGGAAUCUUGAUUGUCAACUGCAGCCUGUUUAAUCCGACCCCGUCGUUGUCUGCAAUGAUCAUAAAUCAUUAUAAGCUUAGAGGGAACAUAACUAGCUAUAAUUUAGGUGGAAUGGGGUGCAGUGCUGGAGUAAUUGCGAUUGAUCUUGCUAAAAAAUUACUUCAAGUACAUCCAAGUUCAUAUGCUUUGGUUGUUAGUACAGAGAAUAUUACACUCAAUUGGUAUCUUGGAAAUGACAGAUCAAAGUUAGUGUCAAAUUGCUUGUUUAGAAUGGGAGGUGCAGCUAUACUUCUUUCAAAUAAAUGGACAGAGAGAAGAAGAUCAAAGUACCAACUUUUACAUGCUGUUCGUACGAAUAAAGGUGCAGACGAUAAGUGUUUUGCUUCUGUCACUCAAGAAGAGGAUGCUAAUGGAAUACAAGGAGUUUCUUUGUCAAAAGAGUUAAUGGCAGUGGCUGGAGAUGCCUUAAAAACCAAUAUUACUACCCUUGGACCCCUUGUGUUACCGAUAUCAGAACAAUUACUUUUCUUUGCUACGCUUGUUGGGAAGAAACUUUUUAAAAUGAAACUCAAGCCUUAUAUUCCUGAUUUCAAACUAGCGUUCGAGCAUUUCUGCAUUCAUGCUGGUGGAAGGGCAGUUUUAGAUGAAAUAGAGAAGAAUUUGCAUCUUACGGAGAGGCACCUCGAGCCAUCAAGAAUGACAUUGUAUCGUUUUGGAAACACUUCGAGCAGCUCUUUGUGGUACGAGUUGGCUUAUACGGAAGCUAAAGGAAGAGUGAAGAGAGGUGAUAGAGUGUGGCAAAUAGGAUUUGGUUCAGGAUUUAAGUGUAAUAGUGCUGUAUGGAAGGCUUUGAGGACUAUAAAGCCAGCAAAGGAAGUGAAUCCUUGGAUGGAUGAGAUAGAUAAGUUUCCGGUGGACGUUCCAAAGGUAGCAAACUUUUAAAUGUCAAUCAGCAACCAGAGAAGGAGAUGGAUCCAGGAUUUAAAGGUAGUUGGUACACCUAUAUAGACGUACAUCAUAAAAAAAUUCUCAAAAUUUUCUCUAUAUAUAUAGUCUAAGUUCGAAUCAGUGGAUGCACGUGCACACACAGCUUAUAUUGCUGAGUUAGCCUCUUUCAUUGUAAAUAUCUUUGUAUCUUAACUCCAAGGGUCUUCAUCAGUAAUGGCAAAAUUUCCUAAAAGUUCAACAGGAAAUCCCCCGUAUAAGCACGAGGACUCAGAUCUUCAUCAUUGAGCGUUUCUCCAAUUUGCAACAUAACAAUUUCUUUUCAAACUACAACUUGAAAGUGAGAUUGUCCUCUUUAAACUUCUUUUCUACAACUAGGCUUUAGUGUUUAAAGAUUUAUUAAUUUUUGAAGUUUCAAGGUCUCCUGCACUACGAUCAAAUCUUGUAUAAAGGAAGCUGUUUACAUC